rnacentral:rRNA from 1 species
UACGAAGGGUGCAAGCGUUACUCGGAAUUACUGGGCGUAAAGCGUGCGUAGGCGGUUUGUUAAGUCUGUUGUGAAAGCCCAGGGCUCAACCCUGGAAUUGCCUUCGAUACUGGAUAUCUUGAGUUCGGGAGAGGUGAGUGGAAUGCCGAGUGUAGAGGUGAAAUUCGUAGAUAUUCGGCGGAACACCAGUGGCGAAGGCGACUCACUGGCCCGAUACUGACGCUGAGGCGCGAAAGCGUGGGGAGCAAACAGGG